rnacentral:misc_RNA from 1 species
GUUAUUUGUUUAGACAGACUGAGUCUGCGUUACAUUCUUAAUACUGAGUUUGUGAUGCGGGUCAGACGGGCUCGCGCCCACCUUCGCCGAAAGGUGCACAGGGGUUUGUGUGGACAGAAGACGCGGUCACCCGCUCACGGCCGAUUGAGCCGGAGCAGAGCUGGCACGCCCCCGUUUGUUACGAUAAUGAUCCUUCCGCAGGUUCACCUACGGAAA